rnacentral:rRNA from 1 species
AUUGAACGCUGGCGGCAGGCCUAACACAUGCAAGUCGAGCGAGCGGCGGACGGGGGAGUAAUGUCUGGGAAACUGCCUGAUGGAGGGGGAUAACUACUGGAAAAGGUAGCUAAUACCGCAUACCAUCAGAUGUGCCGAGAUGGGAUUAGCUAGUGGGUGGGGUAAUGGCUCCCCUAGGCGACGAUCCCUACCUGGUCUGAGAGGAGGACCAGCCACACUGGAACUGAGAAACGGCCCAGACUCCUACGGGAGGCAGCAGUGGGGAAUAUUGCACAAUGGGCGCAAGCCUGAUGCAGCCAUGCCGCGUGUGUGAAGAAGGCCUUCGGGUUGUAAAGCACUUUCAGCGGGGAGGCGUUACCCGCAGAAGAAGCACCGGCUAACUCCGUGCCAGCAGCCGCGGUAAUUC